rnacentral:rRNA from 1 species
AUGAACGCUAGCGACAGGCUUAACACAUGCAAGUCGAGGGGCAGCACAGGUAGCAAUACCGGGUGGCGACCGGCGCACGGGUGAGUAACGCGUAUGCAACUUGCCUAUCAGAGGGGGAUAACCCGGCGAAAGUCGGACUAAUACCGCAUGAAGCAGGGGCCCCGCAUGGGGAUAUUUGCUAAAGAUUCAUCGCUGAUAGAUAGGCAUGCGUUCCAUUAGGCAGUUGGCGGGGUAACGGCCCACCAAACCGACGAUGGAUAGGGGUUCUGAGAGGAAGGUCCCCCACAUUGGUACUGAGACACGGACCAAACUCCUACGGGAGGCAGCAGUGAGGAAUAUUGGUCAAUGGCCGAGAGGCUGAACCAGCCAAGUCGCGUGAGGGAUGAAGGUUCUAUGGAUCGUAAACCUCUUUUAUAAGGGAAUAAAGUGCGGGACGUGUCCCGUUUUGUAUGUACCUUAUGAAUAAGGAUCGGCUAACUCCGUGCCAGCAGCCGCGGUAAUACGGAGGAUCCGAGCGUUAUCCGGAUUUAUUGGGUUUAAAGGGUGCGUAGGCGGCCUUUUAAGUCAGCGGUGAAAGUCUGUGGCUCAACCAUAGAAUUGCCGUUGAAACUGGGGGGCUUGAGUAUGUUUGAGGCAGGCGGAAUGCGUGGUGUAGCGGUGAAAUGCAUAGAUAUCACGCAGAACCCCGAUUGCGAAGGCAGCCUGCCAAGCCAUUACUGACGCUGAUGCACGAAAGCGUGGGGAUCAAACAGGAUUAGAUACCCUGGUAGUCCACGCAGUAAACGAUGAUCACUAGCUGUUUGCGAUACACUGUAAGCGGCACAGCGAAAGCGUUAAGUGAUCCACCUGGGGAGUACGCCGGCAACGGUGAAACUCAAAGGAAUUGACGGGGGCCCGCACAAGCGGAGGAACAUGUGGUUUAAUUCGAUGAUACGCGAGGAACCUUACCCGGGCUUGAAUUGCAACUGAAUGAUGUGGAGACAUGUCAGCCGCAAGGCAGUUGUGAAGGUGCUGCAUGGUUGUCGUCAGCUCGUGUCGUGAGAUGUUGGGUUAAGUCCCGCAACGAGCGCAACCCUUGCUAUUAGUUGCUACGCAAGAGCACUCUAAUAGGACUGCCGUUGACAAAACGGAGGAAGGUGGGGACGACGUCAAAUCAUCAUGCCCCUUAUGACCUGGGCUACACACGUACUACAAUGGAUGUAAACAGAGGGAAGCAAAAUAGCGAUAUGGAGCAAACCCCUAAAAGCAUUCUCAGUUCAGAUUGCAGGCUGCAACUCGCCUGUAUGAAGUUGGAAUUGCUAGUAAUCGCGGAUCAGCAUGCCGCGGUGAAUACGUUCCCGGGCCUUGUACACACCGCCCGUCAAGCCAUGGGAGCCGGGGGUACCUGAAGUCCGUAACCGCGAGGAUCGGCCUAGGGUAAAACUGGUGACUGGGGCU